AUCGAACGCUGGCGGCAUGCCUUACACAUGCAAGUCGAACGGUAACGGGCCUUCGGGUGCCGACGAGUGGCGAACGGGUGAGUAAUGUAUCGGAACGUACCUUUCAGUGGGGAUGACGUAGCGAAAGUUACGCUAAUACCGCAUAUUCUGUGAGCAGGAAAGCAGGGGAUCGCAAGACCUUGCGCUGAUUGAGCGGCCGAUAUCAGAUUAGCUAGUUGGUGAGGUAAAGGCUCACCAAGGCGACGAUCUGUAGCGGGUCUGAGAGGAUGAUCCGCCACACUGGAACUGAGACACGGUCCAGUCUCCUACGGGAGGCAGCAGUGGGGAAUUUUGGACCAUGGGGGCAACCCUGAUCCAGCCAUGCCGCGUGAGUGAAGAAGGCCUUCGGGUUGUAAAGCUCUUUCGGCCGGGAAGAAAUCGUAUCAGCGAAUACCUGGUGCGGAUGACGGUACCGGCAUAAGAAGCACCGGCUAACUACGUGCCAGCAGCCGCCGUAACAC
rnacentral:rRNA from 1 species